rnacentral:rRNA from 1 species
UACGUAGGGUGCAAGCGUUAUCCGGAAUUAUUGGGCGUAAAGAGCUCGUAGGCGGUUUGUCGCGUCUGCUGUGAAAACCGGAGGCUCAACCUCCGGCCUGCAGUGGGUACGGGCAAACUAGAGUGCGGUAGGGGAGAUUGGAAUUCCUGGUGUAGCGGUGGAAUGCGCAGAUAUCAGGAGGACUACCCAUAGCGAAGGCAGCUCGCUGGGACGGUACUGACGCUGAGGCGCGAAAGCGUGGGGAGCGAACAGG